rnacentral:lncRNA from 15 species
UGUAGAAAGAGAAGUGUGGAGAUGUAAGACAAGGAGAGGUCAGAGGGAGGGAGGGGGACUUUCAGUUUCAAAAGGUUGAGGACCCCUGGGUUAAACUACAGUGGCUGGCCCAACUUUCCAUUUUCUUUUCAAAGCCCCAGUACUCCGCUCCUCUCUUGUUCUACAUUACAGAAUGGGCGCCUAGUUCACCAAAGCUGAGGUCAACGUAAUGAGAGAAUGGAAAAACUGACUUCUCCCUCAUUCUUUCUCUCAUUUUAACUGUGAUGAAUUUAACAUGUUGAAGAUCAUGAAAUACAAUCGAACAUGAAAAGCUUGCCCACAACAGCCAUACUUUCCAGGUUUGUUAACCCAGUUGAGUAACUU